GGAAGUAAAAGCGUAACAAGGUUUCCGUAGGUGAACCUGCGGAAGGAUCAUUAUUGUAUAACCGAGGUGCGAGGGCUGUCGCUGACCCGAAAGGUCGUGCACGCCCGAGUGCCCUCACACACAUCCAUCUCACCCCUAUGUGCACCACCGCGUGGGUCCCCCUUUGGCUUGUUCGGAGGGGGGCUUACGUUUUCACACAAACUUUGUAUGCAGUGUAGAAUGUAUUUUUUGUUUUUGCGAUCACGCAAUCAAUACAGCUUUCAACAACGGAUCUCUUGGCUCUC
rnacentral:misc_RNA from 1 species